rnacentral:rRNA from 1 species
GAGUUUGAUCCUGGCUCAGGAUGAACGCUAGCGGCAGGCCUAAUACAUGCAAGUCGAGGGGGAUUGGGGAGCUUGCUCCCCAUGAGACCGGCGCACGGGUGCGUAACGCGUAUGCAACCUACCUCUGUCAGGGGGAUAGCCCCCGGAAACGGGGAUUAACACCGCAUAACACCGCAGCACAGCAUUGUGCAGCGGUCAAAUAUUCAUAGGACAGAGAUGGGCAUGCGUGCCAUUAGCUGGUUGGUAGGGUAACGGCCUACCAAGGCGACGAUGGCUAGGGGAUCUGAGAGGAUGGCCCCCCACACUGGUACUGAGACACGGACCAGACUCCUACGGGAGGCAGCAGUAAGGAAUAUUGGUCAAUGGGGGCAACCCUGAACCAGCCAUGCCGCGUGCAGGAAGACAGCCCUAUGGGUCGUAAACUGCUUUUGUACGGGAACAAACCUCUCCUCGUGAGGAGAGCUGAGCGUACCGUAAGAAUAAGGAUCGGCUAACUCCGUGCCAGCAGCCGCGGUAAUACGGAGGAUCCGAGCGUUAUCCGGAUUUAUUGGGUUUAAAGGGAGCGUAGCGGCCCGUUAAGUCAGGGGUGAAAGACGGUGGCUCAACCAUCGCAGUGCCCUUGAUACUGACAGGCUUGAAUACACUUGAGGUAGGCGGAAUGUGACAAGUAGCGGUGAAUGCAUAGAUAUGUCACAGAACACCGAUUGCGAAGCAGCUUACUAAAGUGUGAUUGACGCUGAAGCUCGAAAGCGUGGGGAUCAACAGGAUUAGAUACCCUGGUGGUCCCGCCCUA